AUACAUACAUAUUAUAAAGCUUAAUUUUUAAAUCUUACAAUAAAUUAAUAAAAGAAAAAUUAGUAGCAUUAUAAUAAAAGGUACAUGAAUGUAGUCUUGUGUUUCAAUAUUUAAUUGUACUUUAUCCCUUUCACUUAAAGGAAGAGAGCUUUUUGCAGAUUCUCUUUGGCAUGUCUGAAAUACUAGGAUCACUAUUAGCUUGUGUUUGGGGGUCAUAAGGAAAGCUGCAGUUACUUGAACACAAACAAGCAUUACGAUACUGUGACAGAAUCUAAGACAGCUACUAAGUGACUAAUGCAUGGGUAGAACAUACCAUGUUUUUGUCUAGGAGUGGCGCCUAGACAAAAGAAGGACUCCUAGGCAUAGUGGGUCAAAGCAUGUAUAAGGUUUCAUCAUGCUAUAAAGAAUGGAUGCAGCUUAUGUGUUGUGGGUCUGUAGAGGUGGCUGAGCAAUUAAGAGUACUUUAGAGGAUCCAGUAUAGUUCCCAUCACUCUAAUGGCAGCUCACAACCAUCUAUAACUCCCAAUUCUAGGAGACACAGCAUCCUUUUUAGACAUCUAUGGGUACCAGGUACAUGUAAAUAUAUUAAGGCUGUAUAUUCACACACUAAAAUUGUGUGUGUGUGUGUGUGUGUAUUAUAUAAUACAUUUAUUAUACAUAUGCAUGUAUAUGUAUAUGUGUGUGUGUAUGUUUGAAUUUCCACUUAACUGUAUUCCAAUCAUAUAGUGUAUAGCUACAGAUAAAAAGAGAUUAUCAUUAUGUAUCAGUAUGGAGGACAACCCUCAAAUUUGUAAGUGGUCUGGACGUCGAUUAUGUGGGUCUCAGGGACUGAAUUCAGUUCAUUAGGUUUGGUACCAAGUGCUUUUAUUCACCGAAUCCUCUCUCUGCUUCCUGACAACUUGGAUCUUGGUCCAUUGUUAAAACAAAUUGAUGUGCAUGUAUACCUGUGCAUAUUUGAAUUUCUAAUGCAAAUAAGUUCUAAUGAGUUCUUCAAGACUUAUUUAUAAAAGAAUUUCUAUGGGAUAGUUUUUAAUUUUUCAUAUAUUCUCAAUUAUUUAAAACUUUGAAACUUUAAGUAUGUUUUGAUCAUAUUCUUUCCUUCCUUCAAGUCUUCCAGAUCCUUGUCCCCUUCUUCCCCACCCAACUUUAAGUUAUUUCUCAAAAAACAGACUUAGUUGGGGUUUUACGGCUGUGAACAGACACCGUGACUGAGGUAACUCUUACAAGAUCAACAUUUAAUUGGGGCUAGCUUACAGGAUCAGAGAUUCAGUCCAGUAUCAAGGCAGGAACACCCAGGCAGGCAUAGUGCAGGAGGAGCUGAGAGUUCUACAUCUUCAUCUGAAGGCUGUUAGCAGAAUACUGGCUUCCAGGCAGCUAGGAUGACAGUCUUAAGCCCAUGCCUUCAGUGAUACACCUACUCCAACUGGGCCACACCUUCUAAUAGUACCACUUCCUGGGCUGAGUGUAUACAUUCAUCACAACAGAUAAAACCCCAAUACAAUAAUCCGCCCCCAAACCAAGACAACAAAAUAAAGCCACUCCCAAAAUGAGUAACAAACAAAUCCCCCAAACAAAAUAACAAAACACCCCACACCAGACUGCAAGCAAAUAAAAGUGUACAUACACACAACCCCAAAAAACCUGGAGUCCAUUAUACAUUGGCCUGUUCAGGAGUGGUUUAUAUACCCAGUGUCACUCUAUUGGAGUAAACUAAUGUUUCCCCACCCAUCAGGUGGAAGGGACAGUUUAGUUGUUAACCUUUACGUUAGUAGUUAGGUUUUCAUUCAUUCAUUCAUUCAAAAUAUAUAACAUUAUCAAAGAUAAAAUGAUAAAAGCCAUCACAUUGAAGUUGAACAAGACAAACCAGCAGGAAAAGAGCCCAAGAGACAGCACAAGAAAGAGACCUGCUUGUUCACAUACUCAGGAACCCAUAGACACUAAACUGGAAGCCCUGUACUUGCGGCUUAAGGCUCUCCAGGAAACUUAAACAGUAGAUUUAGACCCUUUUCGCCUAGAAUUCUAAUGCAGUAGAAUGGAAUGGUGCUCGGAAAUACGUUGGUGCUUCUGAGAACCUACCAUAAAAAAGUUAUUUGAGCUGGGCAGUAGUGGCACACGCCUUUUAUCCUAGCCUUCAGGAGACAGAGACAGGCCUAACUGAGUUGGAGGCCAGCCAGGGCUACACAGAGAAAUCCUGACUUGAAAAUC
rnacentral:lncRNA from 1 species